ensembl:lncRNA
AUGAAGGUCAAGGCUCUGUCAGUGACGGAGUGCACCUGGACGUCGGAGGAGUGCCGCCCAGUCGCUGAGCUGCACGGAGACCCCCCGAAGGACAGCUUCUGUCUACCGAACAUAUUCAGGUCCAAAAAAGUGAAGCCGCUGGCGAGCAGUCGGACCGGCCCCACCUACCAGGUGUACCACACGGCCAGAGAGCUGCUGCUGGAAGCUCUGGACCGAGGAGCCGUCCGGCAGCUGGUCCGGAGGAGAGGGCCGAGCCGUCCGUCCCACCACAGCAGCAGCAGCAGCAGCAGGGAGCAGAGCGCGGACCUCUCCGAGGGGGAGUACGCCGAGGCGCUGACCUGGUUCUCUAUAGUGCUCCAGGGCGGCCUGUCCGUGGGGGGGGGCCGUGGCUGCGGCUCCGAGCUGACCCUGAAACUGGACGGGUGGCAGGGGGUCCUGAAGAGAAACAGCUUCCAGAACGACCUCCUGUCCCUGACCAGACUGGAGGACGGAGACAAGCUGGACGCCCUCUCUGCGUUCUGCAGCCACUUGACCGGGCGCUACCGGGCCUUGUACACGCCCGGUCACGACCUGGUGGUGAAGAAGUACAGGCUCUCCUACCAGCAGGAUCCCUGCGCUCUGCACCUCGCCCUCCUCUGCGACACGAGCUCCGGGUUCAUCUGUAACAUGUAUCUGUAUUGCCCGCAGCGACUCCAGAGGCAGACGAGGACAACCGUAGUGGAGCAGGUGGUGGGAUACCUGCUGAGACCGUUCUGCGGCCACAGGCACCGGGUUCAGCUGGACGCCUCUGCGUCGGGGCUCACGGGCGUCUUCUCUGGCUUAGGGGCGGAUAUUCAUUUCGCCCCAACUGCUGAAAGAACACCUUCGUCCCCACCAGGCGUGGACCAUCUGCUCCCAUGCCCAGCGGAGGACUCGCCGUCUCCAGGAGAGGCCCACCUGCAGGGCUGGACCGGACCUGCUCUGUUUCCCUCUUCAGACCCGAAGGGGUCAGCGGCGGACGUGUUUCUGCCAGGCCUCUGGGUGACGCUACACGUCAUCUGCAUCAACACGUUCACGCUGCACUCUCUGCAGAGGGGGGGGCUCAGCCAACCAGGUCCAGUUGACCGAGUUCACCAGAACUCUGGCCUGCAGGCUGGCCGAGGACAGCAGCGUCACAGUGCCCGUCCUGCCGCAACUAAACAGCCGCUCGUGCCAAGAGACGGGUUUCGCAAAUCAUUCCAAGCAAAGGUUUGUUCUCUCUAUUCUGUUAGUGUUUCUAUUCAAGCUGUUGGUGGCCGGCACAGUAUUAGAUAG